rnacentral:rRNA from 1 species
UACGUAGGGUGCGAGCGUUGUCCGGAAUUAUUGGGCGUAAAGGGCUCGUAGGCGGUUUGUCGCGUCGGGAGUGAAAACCUCGGGCUUAACUCGGGGCUUGCUUUCGAUACGGGCAGACUGGAGGUAUGCAGGGGAGAGCGGAAUUCCUGGUGUAGCGGUGAAAUGCGCAGAUAUCAGGAGGAACACCGGUGGCGAAGGCGGUUCUCUGGGCAUGACCUGACGCUGAGGAGCGAAAGUGUGGGGAGCGAACAGG